UUUUUGCCGAAACUGCCCUUGGAUUUUGUUUUCCUCUCUAUCCAAACCAUACCGUUCUUUUUUUUCCAAGUUCUUUCGCUCGCUCGCAUCUCCUCCUGUCGACCGAGCGGAGGCGGAGGCGCGGUCUUGCCGGCGUCGAGCCACCUCACCGCCGCCGUCCUCGCCUUCUCUUGCCCCGUCCCCCAUCCGCCCCACAUCCCGCUCUCUCCUUCCUGUCGACCGAGCGGAAGCGCGGUCUCGCCGGCGUCGCCUUCCUGUCGCCCCGUUCUGCUCCCGCCGCCGCUUCCCGUCCCCCAUCUACCCCAAAAGCGCCGCCGGGGAACGGGGAGAGGCGGCGCGGCGGUAGCUGACUCGGCAGCUAGCGGCGGCGGUGAUGCCUGCGAGGGGAGCAGCGGGAUUCGGGGGUGGUGGGGAGAGAGGCGGUGCAGCUGGCGGCAUGGUGGGGUAACGGGGAGAGGCGGCGCGACGGCGGCAGUGGUGGGCGGCACCAGCGUCGCCGCUUCACUUUCUCCUCACGCCUCCGUCCUCAAGCAACCGAAGUCUCGAAGCAGCAAGAGGUUUCUGAAGGUUAAUCGAAGACGAUGCAAAUGUGGGCAGAGAUGCUGAGAUGGAGGAAAGAGAUAGGAGUCGACAUGAUGUUGAAGUGCUAUGUUCUUGUGGUUAGGAGUUCUGCUAUGUUCUUAUGGUCAGGAGUUCCGAACAGGGAUACCAUGCUGUUGAUCAGGAAGGCCAGCCGAUGUACAUCAAGAAGCUUGGCAAGAUCAAUCGAAACAAGCUGAUGCAGAUCACCACAGUGGACAGUUACAACUUACAUCAAUUAGCAUGUUGUAGAGAUUUAAUUGCAGCUAAUGUUCAGACUACAACCACUACCAGUUCAACUAGCCUGUUUCUUGCUUCUUUUCAUAAAGUUACACAUAUCUACAUGGAUUAAGUGUAUUGUCAGAAUCAAAACCUGCCCUAUUUACAGAAGAAAGAUCAGAGUGGUGUUUCUAAUAUGACUGCAAAGAUGAGCUAUUUUAUCAUAUGGUAAGAGCAAAGUAUAAGGUCUAAUCUAUCUAGCCUUGCAGAGCACAUUGCCGAUUUCUACUAAUGUAUUUUUCUUUUCGUUGGUGGUCACAGAGUGUCCAUAGGAGCAUAGUUGCAGUGUUCCUUCAGUUAUGAACAGGAACAUGCUUAUCUAAGCUGUUCUAUUUUAGCUCUCUUUGUAUGACUUGAUUUCUUUUAUCUAGCAUGAUUUAUUUGUUCUACCAUUCUUUAAAACUUGUUUUUUGCCUAUUUUUUGGUGAUUGACAAAUACCACAGACAUAAGACCAAUUCAAUAUACACCAUGCUGCAUACAGGUAAAUGUUAAAGGCUUUCUUCUCUAAUUUAGUUUCCUCUUCUUAAGUUUGAGAUUUUCUAAGAGAUACUAAUACAUUAUCUCCUCCUGGCCAUUAAUACAUUUAGGCCCCUUAAGGAAUGCUAAGUUAACUCUUUAGGGGCAUUGAUGUGUUCUGUUUUUCAAGUUCGCUUUAAAAAAAACUUAUGCUUUUGUUGGCAUUUUUUUUCAUUAUACAGAUGAUAAAAUAUGUUUUAUAACAUAAAUAUGCUUGCAAUUCUACAUCACAAACCAUAAAGCCUCUCAGGAUGUGCCCUUUUUUAGCUAUGACACGUCAGGUUACUGUAGUAGAAGCACACUAGGAUUAUACGGUGCCAUUAACUGUUGUUGUGUGCUUGCAUGUGCAGCUCUUGUUGGAUCGUGUCUGCCCCGCUGCACGGCGCCGCCCCUCCGCUCCUGCUUGCUGCGCCUGCACUCACCAGCAACCCACCGCAACCACCCCACCCCCCCCCCCCCCCCCCCCCGCCUUCACCACUCUCCUCGCCUUCCCCAUCCGCUGUGCUGCCCCGCUGCACGCCGAUUCCCCAUCCACCGUUGCUCGAUUUCUCUCCUCUCCCGCGCCGCCCCUCUGCCUUCGUUGCAUCCCUCAUGUGUCGCCCCUCCGUCGUCGUCGGAUUGUCAUGCCACCCGCCGCCGCCGCUUGCUCGUGGAGAUGGCGAUGACCGUUGAAGGAUUCAAGCACAGCCAAUUCCAAGGGGUAUAAAUGGUAUAAAUAGAAGACCUUGAGGGAACAGAAAGAAUCACCUUGCUUGUGCCUAAUUGCUCCAAAUUAAAAGCUCAGGUACGACUUGCAGCAAACAGGAAGCUUUCUCCAUUAGAAGGAAUCAAAUCGAUCAAGAAGUCACUUGAAUCAGGACCUAGCAUACAUAUUCAGGUAGGAGGUCUACGAUGGGCAGCGGUGUGGUCACGAGUUCCACAACGGUGAGUGUCUAUAUUCUGUACAAACGACAUAGAACCAUACUUAUUUCCUCAAAUGCUGUUAGUCUUAAGUAUAUUUCCUCAAAUGCUUAUCUUUCUAAUUCUUAAGUAUACUUCUGAAGUGCUGAUCCUGACAGAUGGCUACCUGGUAGCUGUAGCAGUACUUAAGUACAAAAUGUUAAAGAGUAUAAUCUAUUUAUAUAUCUAUUAAUUUUUACGAUGUGAGCUCUUCAAUCUGGAUAUUUCUGAGUUUCAUCUAUUUCUGAUAUUCAAAUAACUGGAGCGGGGCAUCAGUAGCAAAGUAUGAAAACUAAGUCUGCCCGACACAACAACGUGAUUCUGAAAUUGACAAGGCUAACCCCAUAUUCUUCUACACUACUUUUUUUAUUCCUGCAAACUAAUGCUACAUUGUUAUGCCGACUAAUGCUGGGAGCACAGGCCGCGUCUUAACUGAACAUGAGUAUGCAAAAACUGAAGGUGAUUCUUAUUUUCUAAAUCUUUAUCUCAAUAUUUCCUCUAGGGGUUACAUUGGAGCGGGCCAAAUAUUGUAUAGGUAAGCAUUUUGCCUCUUGGCUAUUACAAGUUUUCCGUCUUAUAUAUGUAUCUAGAAGUUCAUGUUGCCGUGCGCUGCUUUUACGCAUGCUGCCAUGUACACAUGUUUAGUUUUAGUAAAAAUAAGUAAGGUUUCAUUGCACGGUAAGUAUUGUUUACAGGUGUGCAAAUUGAUAGGAGCUAAUUCAUGCAAUGGCUUCUAAACAUAAUGUUACUUGAUAACUAGGAUAUAAAUUAAUAAUUACAUGGAAGAACUAAUUUAUAUCUAUAAGUUGCUUUCAAUUUUACCAUGAGUUAGUAUGUGCUACCAUAAUCCUUGGAAUUGGAGGGUUUGUAGCAGAUCUCAUCAGUUGUAAGGAAAGUGGAAAAAGUUUAUUUGGUCAGUGUUAAGCUAUCUUACCGUGCAAUGUACAUUAGGUAAUGUAUGCUGUUAACAGUUAUUUUUGUUGUUAAAUCCAAUCCAUUUUCUUAAAUUCAAUAAAGUAUUGAUGAAACAACUUAGAUGCAUCCAAACAAUGCUAGCAAUGCUCUUAAUGGGGAGCAGCAACCUGAAGGGUAGAGUCACCCAUAUAUUCUGGUAUAUUUUUUAUAAUGGAAAUGUGUUAAGGGGUAAAUCAACAUGUACCAGACCUUUAGAUAAUUCUGUAUCAUUUGCCUGCACAAUGCAAAUCAUGAAAAUUUUGCUGUAAUUUUUAUCAUUAAUGCCUUUCAGGAAUUUAGGAUGAGUUCAGGAAGUCAUAAGAUUGAUCAGAAUUACUACCACUUAUGCCAUUAGGCUUUAAGUUUAUAUGGAAGGGGUGUGGAUUGGCAGCAUGCGUUGAAUAAUUCCUCCUAAGGCCACAAAACAAUUGGCCUUCCCAGUUUGAUUGAUUGGUGGUCCAAGGAUGAAAGGCAAUUACAAUUUUGUAUAUGGAGUUUUUUCUUUGAAUUUUCAGUAUUUACCAUUUUUGUCAUUGAUGAGUAAAUGAUAGUACGUAUCAUAUAUUAGUGAUAGUGAGAUUCAGAAGCCGUACGUGCUAGCAAUCUCAACAUGUGUUCCUCGAUUCGAGGAGCGACCUCGAUCGUUGUCUGUGUUUUCACUGUCUUAUUGACUUGGCAAUGGAUCAACAAUGUAACAAAAGUACUUUGUGUGAUAGAUAUUUUAUUAAUCAUUUUAGGUUAUGAACUACCAGACCUUACAGAUACCAUAUUCUAGACAAAGGUGAUAUUUACACAAUGCAUGUAGAUAAACA